AAGUAGGGGCAGCGCAGGCCCGGCCGGGCCCCGGGACUUGGCUCCGCGCCGCGCCCUCCGCUUUCGCCGCGCCGCAGCCGGAGUCUGAAGGAGGAGGCGGCGCUGCCGCCGCUGGAUAUGUAGGGGCCCUGGAGCGGGCGGAUCCGGAGGCCGCUGUCUACCUCUGGAGCGCGGCGCCGGGGCCGGGCUCGGGCCCGGCGGGAUGUUCUCCAAGAAGCCGCACGGGGACGUGCGGAAAUCCACGCAGAAGGUGCUGGACACCCGCAAGGACCCGCUCACCCGUCUCAAGCACUUGCGUGUCCUCAUCGAGAAUGCAGAAUCAAUUGAUCUCAAACAGUUUUUUGACCUACAUUUCUCACAUAUAUAUUAUGUGUUCUUUGAAAACUUUGUGACUAUUGAAGUAGGCCUUAAACAAAAAGGUCACAAGUCUCAGAGAGAAGAAUUAGAUUCUAUUCUUUUUAUUUUUGAGAAAAUUUUACAACUCCUUCCUGAGAGGAUUCAUCAGAGAUGGCAAUUUCAUAGUAUUGGGUUGAUUUUAAAGAAGCUUCUUCACACUGGAAAUUCAUUAAAGAUACGUCGAGAGGGAGUGCGUCUCUUUCUUUUGUGGCUGCAAGCACUUCAAAAUAACUGUAGUAAAGAACAAUUAUGGAUGUUUUCUUGCUUGAUUCCUGGAUUUUCAUCACCACAGUCUGAAUAUGGCCCCCGAACACUUGAUAAUCUCAUUAACCCUCCGCUUAAUGUUCAAGAAACUCAAGUGACUACAGAGGAAAUCACUCCACUUGUUCCUCCACAAUCGGGAGAUAAAGGACAAGAAGAUUUAACUAGCUAUUUUUUAGAAGCACUUUUGAAAUACAUGGUAAUUCAGGUUAAGAGUUUAGAAUGGAAGAACAAGGAAAACCAGGAAAAGGGAUUUUCAUUUUUAUUCUCAAAUUUUAAGAAAUACUACUUACCUUCUAUUUUCCCAAACAUCUGUAAGGAGAGCAGCUUGUAUAACCCUAUACUUGAUAUACCACAAAUGAGACCAAAGCCACAUUAUGUAAUGGUUAAGAAAGAUGCUGAAACCAAUGAGGCAAUAUAUUGCACAAAGGAACCUUUUAUUAAGGCUCGUGUUAUUGUCAUUCGAUGGUUGGUGUCUUUCUGGCUUGAGCCAAAACCGCAUACAGGACCUCAUAUUCCUGGGAUGGAAGGUGAAAAUGUGCCAAAGAAUAUUCAGAGAGCAGCUGCUAACAUGGUUUCAAGGGAGGACAGCAAAAAUGACAGUACUGAUAAGCAGGAUAGAAAUGCAGAGCCAGAACAAUCUCAUUCUAAUACAAGUACUCUAACAGAGAGAGAACCAAGUUCUUCCAGCCUCUGCAGUAUUGAUGAAGAGCAUUUAACUGAUAUUGAAAUUGUCCGCAAAGUCUUUUCUUCUAAAAGAAGUAAUGUUAAUUUUCUAACUGAGAUUUUUCGACAGGCAUUUCUGUUGCCAAUAUGUGAAGCAGCUGCCAUGAGGAAAGUGGUAAAGGUGUAUCAGGAAUGGAUUCAACAAGAAGACAAACCUUUAUUUAUGAAAGAACCUGAAGACAUAAUGCAGUGCACAACUGUAGAUUGUGAUGAAAACAUUGACCAUAAUUCAUCAGAGAAAGGAAAAGAAAGAGAAGAGGAAAAAGGGAUGAACUCGAGUCAUGUUAGAAAUUCAAACUGGACAAGAAAUGGCUGUUAUGAAGACACUUUGCAUAAAACAUCUGAAAUUGAUAUUGAAGAGCAGAAUGUACAAGCUGGAGUGCAGUCAGUAUUGCAGGUUUUUAUAAUAAAUUCUUCAAAUAUAUUCUUUCUUGAACCUGCAAAUGAAAUUAAAGUUCUGCUGGAUGAACACACCGAUAUGUGUAAACGCAUUCUUAAUAUCUACCGCCACAUGGUAGUCCAAGUGACUAUGGACAAGAAGACAUGGGAGCAGAUGCUACUUGUGCUGCUUAGGGUUACUGAAUCUGUGCUGAAAAUACCACCCCAAACUUUCUUGCAGUAUCAAGGAAGAAAAAACUCCACUUUAGCUGGAAGACUUGCAGGACCUCUUUUCCAGACUCUUAUAGUGGCUUGGAUCAAAGCAAAUCUAAAUGUGUACAUUUCUCGAGAACUUUGGGAUGACUUGCUGUCUGUUAUGUCAUCACUGACAUAUUGGGAAGAGCUGGCCACUGAGUGGUCACUGACAAUGGAGACACUAACUAAAGUAUUAGCUAGAAACUUGUAUAGCUUGGACCUCAGUGACCUGCCAUUGGAUAAAUUAAGUGAGCAGAAGCAGAAAAAACACAAAGGCAAAGGAGUUGGGCACGAAUUCCCGAAGUCUUCUGUCGAUAAGUCCUUUUCUAGAGGCUGGAGCCGUGAUCAGCCUGGACAAGCACCAAUGAGACAACGCAGUGCUACAACCACUGGCUCUCCAGGAACAGAAAAAGCAAGAAGCAUAGUACGGCAGAAAACAGUUGCCAUGAGAAGCCGAUCCAUUGGUGAAUGUGCUCUGCCAUCGGCCUAUAUACGCAGUGCUAAAAGUGCUCCUGUUCUGAUCCAUACUUCCAAACCCUUCUUGCCUGAUAUUGUUCUCACUCCCCUUUCUGAUGAGCUUUCAGACAUUGAUGAUGCUCAAAUUCUUCCACGUCCACCUCGAGUCAGACAUUUUUCACAGAGUGAGGAUGCUCCAAGUGAAGUUUUUGGUGCAUUAAAUGAGGAACAGCCACUGCCACGAAGCAGCAGCACCUCUGACAUCCUGGAACCUUUCGCAGUUGAACGAGCCAAAGGUGCAGUUCCUGUCAUUGACAGUUCAUCCCAUCAUGCUCCAAGCUUACAGAGUUCCACUGAGACCUCUUCAAUGCAUAGAUCCACUGAAAGCCAUAUUACUGAUACAAAUAGCAGAGAGUCCUCCUUGGAAGUUGGGGAUAGUAUUUAUGACCAUCUUUGUCAUUUAAUAGGGCCGGUAGAAUUUGCAAACACUGCCUUUGAACAAAGCCAAUAUGUUGACCUUGAAGGUGAAGAUGAUCUCCUUUCCUCUCUGAGAGAAUAUCUUAAAGAAAAAGAAGAACUUUGCGGUAACUUUGAGAUAGAUAAAUGUAAGGCUUCUGCUCAUGACGUUGAUACAUCAGUAAAUAGGAACGAUAGAUUACCACUCGACGGAUUAGAAAAUAGAGAUCAGACUGGGCAAUGCACAAAUAGCGUCACUGUUACAGAAAGAGACGAUAACACAGAGCUGCACCUAGAACAAAACCCAAGUGGCUUUAUAAGUAAUAUUGCACCUAGUCAGGUAGACUUCUUUACAGGAAAUCAAGUGCUCAAUAAAGCCAGACAGUUAGAUAUAAAUAAACAGUAUGAAAGCAUAUUUGAUCAUGGGUCAAGUAGUCCUAGCAGCAAAGAAGGGAAGAGAUACCUGUACAGGCAAGCAGCCACUGAAGCUGAUGUAGAUUUAGUUGUGGAAGCAGUAGUAGGUGAAAAGCAUAGAAGUGCCCAGUUUAAUGAAAAGCUGACCAACUCGCGUGUUGUCCACGCAAAGAAAAUUCUUCCUAAAGCACAAAUUGACCCUCAAAUGCCUUACGUCACAGGCACGAGCAAACUGGCACCAACUAAAAGAAGUAUAUCUGAAACUGUAACUCAUAGGGCCAAAAUCAUGAAAAUAACGACUAAAAAAAGAAAUAGUGUUCAUGUUACUUUUAGACCAUCUACAGAAUCGGUUCAAUUUUACAAUCCUCUUGAGAGCAAAGAGGCUGCUUGGAGAGCAAGACUUCGUAAACUUGGUGGCUUCAGUAGUAGCAGUAGUGGUAGCAGCAACAGCAGUACCAGUACAAGCACCAGCUCAUCAACUGCCACAGAGCUGAUUAGACCUGGAAUAUAUAGACAUCUAGAUGCAAUUAAUGCUGCUUCAGCUGGCAGCAAGCAAAUUAAGGAACCUACAGAAACUCAAGCAGCUGUGUUGCAGAAAGAAGGUAUUGCAGUUAGUCAGUUCCAUAAUCGUAGUGCCUUUAGGGCACCAGGUCAGGAGUCGGCACAACAGCAGGGCUCCCUGGGUGGUGUUUAUAAAACUGUUGUACAUGCUCUUUCGAAGCCGAAGGCAAAUGUUUCCCCACAGAGGCAGAACAGAAUGCCAGCAGAGGCUCCACUGAGGGAUCUGUACAGUCAUGUAAUGGGCUAUUUUGGAAGGAAAGCUGCAGCUAAUAGAGAGGACAUGAGUCAAAAGCUGCACCCUAUUGAUAGUGAUAUUGGCAGUAGCAAUACAAAUGUUCCUGACCUCAUGGAUGAAUUUAUAGCUGAGAGACUCCGCAGUGGUAGUGCACUGAAUGUGACAAGAAGAGGAAGCAGUCCUGGGAGCCUGGAAGUUCCUAAAGACCUUCCUGAUAUAUUGAACAAGCAGAACCAAAUGCGUCCUGUAGAUGACCCAGGCGUACCUUCCGAAUGGACAUCACCUGCCAGCGCGGGCAGCAGUGACCUCAUCAGUUCAGACAGUCACUCUGACUCCUUCAGCGCCUUCCAGUAUGAUGGCCGCAAAUUUGAAAAUUUCAGCUUUGGCACUGAGGCAGGGACACCAGCUUCUACUGAUGUUGAUGCAGUUUCAGGACAGCAGCAGAGUGCCGAGGAGCAAGAACUGGCCAGUCUAACUACACUUCACAUAGAUUCAGAAACAAGUAGUCUCAAUCAGCAACCAUUGUCUGCUGAAGCUGCAACUAUUACCGGCUCUGAAAGUGCUUCUCCAGUCCAAUCUGCUCUUGGAUCCCGAUCGCAGACACCCUCUCCUGCCACUCUUCAUGCAGAUCAUAUUGAGCAGAAGGAUCUGCAGCUGGAUGAGAAGCUCCACCACUCUGUUUUACAGACGCCAGAUGAUCUAGAAACUAGUGAAUUCCCCUCAGAAUGUUGCAGUGUGAUGGCUGGGGGAACACUUACAGGAUGGCAUGCAGAUGUUGCUACUGUGAUGUGGAGGCGAAUGCUAGGAAUUUUGGGAGAUGUCAACAGCAUCAUGGAUCCAGAGAUUCAUGCCCAGGUUUUUGAUUACCUGUGUGAACUGUGGCAGAAUCUGGCCAAGAUAAGAGACAAUCUUGGUAUUUCAACAGAUAACCUAACUUCACCGUCUCCCCCAGUUUUAAUUCCACCACUGAGAAUUCUAACACCAUGGCUAUUCAAGGCAACAAUGCUGACUGAUAAAUACAAACAAGGAAAGCUACAUGCUUAUAAACUUAUUUGUAAGACAAUGAAACGAAGACAAGAUGUUUCUCCAAACAGGGAUUUUUUAACUCAUUUCUACAAUAUAAUGCACUGUGGACUUCUUCACGUUGAUCAAGAUAUUGUCAAUACAAUCAUUAAGCACUGCUCUCCCCAGUUCUUUUCACUUGGUUUGCCUGGUGCUACCAUGCUUAUUAUGGAUUUCAUUGUAGCAGCAGGAAGAGUGGCUGCUUCGUCGUUCCUCAAUGCACCAAGAGUUGAAGCACAGGUUCUUUUAGGAUCUCUAGUUUGUUUUCCCAAUUUAUAUCGUGAACUACCAGCUCUUCACCCAAAUAUUCCUGACAUUGCUGUGUCUCACUUUACGGAUGUUAAGGAACUCAUAAUUAAAACUGUGUUAAGUUCAGCAAGAGAGGAGCCAUCUGGUCCUGCACGAUGUGUUGCGCUUUGCAGCCUUGGUAUUUGGAUCUGUGAGGAGCUGGUUCAUGAAUCACAUCAUCCUCAGAUCAAGGAAGCAUUGAAUGUGAUUUGUGUUUCUUUAAAGUUUCCAAAUAAAACAGUAGCCCAAGUUGCCUGCAGUAUGCUGAACAUGCUGAUACAUUAUGUACAUAGACUUCAACUGUAUCAAGCUGAUUCACCUUUACGGAUUAUUCAAAUUCUGAUAGCAACUAUUACACAUCUACUACCCAGUACAGAAGCUUCCUCUUAUGAACAGGACAAGAGGUUGGUGGUUUCUUUACUUCUGUGCUUAUUGGAUUGGAUAAUGGCUUUGCCAUUAAAGACUUUGCUGCAGCCUCUUCAUGCUACAGGAGCAGAAAAUGAUAAGACUGAAAGAUCCGUUCUUAACUGUAUAUAUAAGGUUCUGCAUGGAUGUGUCUAUGGGUCUCAAUGUUUUAGCAACCCUAAAUAUUUUCCUCUAAGCCUUUCUGAUCUGGCAUGUAUGGAUUACGAUCCUUUUAUGCAUUUAGAAAGCUUAAAGGAACCAGAACCACUGCAUUCUCCAGACUCAGAGAGAUCUUCUAAACUUCAGCCAGUCACUGAAGUGAAAACUCAUAUGCAACAAGGAUUAAUUUCUGUUGCUGCUCGUACUGUAAUAACACAUCUAGUCAACCACUUAGGCCACUAUCCUAUGAGCGGAGGUCCUGCUAUGCUAACCAGUCAAGUGUGUGAAAACAAUGACAAUCCAUACAGUGAAAGUCCUGAGCUGUCUCCCGAACUUUUUGAGAACCCAAAUCUUCAAUUUUUUGUGUUAAACAAUACUUCCUUGGUGUCUUGCAUACAAAUACAAGCAGAAGACGACAUGCCUGGGGGAGGACUAUCUGCUGGACUUGCAUCUGCUAAUUCAAAUGUUAGAAUUAUAGUGCGUGAUCUCUCUGGCAAAUACUCGUGGGAUUCAGCCAUUUUGUAUGGACCAUCAUCUUUAUGUGGAUCUUCACAACAAACAUCUUUUGCACUUUCAUUAUCUCAGCAAGAUAAACCAGAAGAUGCUCUUUCAUCUUUUGAGCAAGUGGAGGAUGUAUCUGCAAGGGAUGGAAUUACACUCCAAGUAAAAAGGAAAUUUAGAGACACUGUACCAACAUGGGAUACAAUUAGGGAUGAAGAAGAUGCCCUUGAUGAGCUCCUGCAGUAUUUAGGUGUUACAAGCCCUGAAUGCUUACAGAGGACUGGUGUCUCACUCAACAUCCCUGCUCCCCAACCAGUCUGCAUCUCAGAGAAACAGGAGAAUGAUGUCAUCAAUGCAAUUCUGAAACAGCACACAGAAGAGAGAGAGUUUGUUGAAAAGCAUUUCAAUGAUGUAAAUAUGAGGGCUAUGGAGCAGGAUGAGCCAACCUCACAAAAGUCCCAGUCAGCAUUUUACUACUGCAGAUUACUUCUCAGUAUACUGGGAAUGAAUUCAUGGGAUAAAAGAAGGAGCUUUCAUCUCCUGAAGAAAAAUGAGAAGUUACUUCGAGAACUGAGAAAUUUGGAUUCAAGACAAUGCCGAGAGACACACAAGAUUGCAGUGUUUUAUGUUGCUGAGGGACAGGAAGAUAAACACUCCAUUCUUACGAAUACUGGGGGAAGUCAAGCCUACGAGGAUUUUGUAGCUGGGCUGGGCUGGGAGGUAAAUCUCACAAAUCAUUGUGGCUUUAUGGGAGGACUGCAAAAAAACAAAAGCACUGGAUUGACCACUCCAUAUUUUGCUACCUCAACAGUAGAAGUAAUGUUCCAUGUGUCAACAAGAAUGCCUUCUGAUUCAGAUGACUCUUUAACAAAAAAGCUAAGACAUUUAGGAAAUGAUGAAGUACACAUUGUCUGGUCAGAGCACACUCGAGAUUAUAGAAGAGGAAUAAUUCCAACAGAAUUUGGUGAUGUUCUUAUAGUUAUCUAUCCCAUGAAAAACCAUAUGUUCAGUAUCCAGAUCAUGAAAAAGCCUGAGGUUCCGUUUUUUGGUCCACUCUUUGAUGGUGCUAUUGUGAAUGGAAAAAUUCUACCUAUUAUGGUUCGUGCAACAGCUAUAAAUGCAAGCCGUGCAUUGAAAUCAUUAAUCCCAUUAUACCAAAACUUUUAUGAGGAGAGAGCACGAUACCUGCAAACAAUUGUUCAACAUCAUCUAGAGCCUACAACUUUUGAAGAUUUUGCUGCUCAGGUUUUCUGUCCAGCACCUUAUCACCAUUUGCCCUCAGAGACGGAUCAUUAAAUAUCAGUUCUGUUUAUCUGAAGGUCUGCAUGAAGCACUAACACUGGUUCUGGGAUUAAGGUAACUAAUGAUAGAGACAGUUGUUGAAUGAGUAACACUUUAUUGUGUUGACCUUUGUUUCUCAGCAUGCACAAGUAGUACUGGAUGGCAGUGGUGUGUUUUGUACCCUUGUACUGUCUUUCAUUGAUGUUGUAAGAUAUUCUCCAGUGAUAACCUAGGAGAGAAGGAGAAGAAGAAUGUGUAAAACUUGAAAUUCUGGCUCAGAAAAACCUUAUUUAAUGAUAAUCAAAAUGCUUCCAUGAAAAAGCUGUAAAUCUAAAUGAAAUAAAUUUUGUAACAAUAAUUUGGCAAGUUGUUACCUGAAAAUUUGUUUCUCAAUCUCAAAAAUAUAUGCAGAAAUUAAUUCUAAAUUAUACAAGAAUUGUGAUAGGACUACAGAAAGAAUGACUGAGAGAUAUUAAAAUGUUGACACUCCUUUACUUGAAAGUAUAAACAAUAACUAGAAAUGCGGUGCAGUUUCAAAGUAUAAUAAGUGGUAUAGUUAUGCUAGUGGAAAUAGUUGAGACCAAAGAGAAACAGAAUUAAAAGUAAUAUAAAACUAAUUAAACCAGUAUAAAAAAGAGUAACAUAAUUUAAUGUAUGAAAACAUUUGAAUGGGAAAAAUCUGUAACCAGAAACAUUAAAACAAUAACCAGGGAUACCAAUCCUUGCCACGUUUCCUGCCUGAUGGACCUAGUAAGUAUUCAACACCAGACACUUUGUAUGGCUAGUAUAUGUUCCGUAUUCUAGUGCACUUAUAGUAGUUCUGCCUAUUUAUUUUCAGAAACCUCAUUCCAGGCCAAGUCCUUCCACCCUCUUCCUCUAGUUCUUUCUUUCAGGGUGAAGCAAACCUACUUUUCUGUGCUAGUUUGGUGCAUCAGAGUACUGUGCUCUACAGUGGCAAUUCCUAUAUUCUUUUAAAAAUUGUCCUAGUCAUACUUUGUAUUCUCUAACAUGAUCUGAAGUGAGGUUAUGAUUUUUUAGAAACUUGAUUUUUAACUUAACCUUUCUAUCAAACUCAAUAAUUUUCUGUAGGAAUCUAAUUAAUAGGAGCUUGUGAUGUAUUUCACAUCUGCAUGUGUGUGUGUCUACAUACCGCAAAACAUGAUGCCCUGUCCUGAGGGCCACAUUCUUCUGAACCUUGCAUUGUGCAGUGCAAAUGACCAAGACAUCAGUGUCAGGAGCAGCCAGCAGCUUCCUAGAAUGGACUUGCAGCACAGUGUGACUCAGAGUCAAAGAACGUCUUCCCAGAUCUGCCUGACUCUGAGCUUUUGUUUCAGCCCAAGGAAACUGGGGAUGCUCUGGCAGUCCUGCUUGCAGCCUGAUCCUUGUUCCGUCUGAGGCUUCUGGAACUCUUAUCCUCAGCUCUAGGACAGAGUGCCUGGAAUAGCACCACACCAUCUACCUCCAAACUGACUCUGGAGGGCACAAAUUGUAAAGCCUGAGUCUGGUAUAAGAUGACACUGCAGUUACCUGCCAAAAAGGCUACCCCAGGGUUUGAGGUUAGCCUAGAAACCACUGGUUUCCAGUUCUAGUGAAGGCAGACCUGUGACUGAGGCUGCUACAGAUGACCCAAAUCUCUGAUGGACUUUAGUCCACAAGUCCACUAGGUAUGCUGUUAAAAAAAUACAUAUCCACAAGUUUUCAAGGCCCCUGCAACAGGUGGAUUUCUUGAAAGAUGUACAGAGCACUGAACUAUGCCAGGAUUGAACAUAGGAGGUGGUGCUGGAGUCCUGCCUGGGAAUCCUCGUGCAUUCAUCACCCCCAGGAUGACUCAGACAAAACCUUGCAGGCUGUCUGCCCAACAUGUCCAUGUCAUCUCAAAAUUUCUGACCAGAUUCUAAAAAUACAUCACAUUUUUAAAUACAAAAUAUUUCAUUUAUGUCUGGGAGUUCUUUUAAUGAAAAAUAAUUGAACAGAAGAGGCUAGAAAAAAAAUCCACAUUUUAGAUAUCAUAGACUUGAUUCUUUAUUUGUAUCAUGAUCUCCAAGUUUACAACUGCUGAAUAUGUUUAAUUUUAUAAAAUAUUCUAUACAUUUUUGUCAUCUAAGAAAGAUCUGUAGAAACUAUGAGGCUUCUACAGCCCAUCACCAGGUAUUGUCAUUUUGUUGUUGUUGUUGUGAUACCAUUGACCAGUUGCAGCAUGCCAUUUUUUUCAUUUGAACUAUGAUAAUCGGAGCAAAUAGAGAAAAUGCCAUUCAGUAACAAACUAUAUUCCCUCAACGUAUUUUAUAUUUCCUCAACAUAUUUUAUCAAAGGCUCAGCCCUCCGCAAAAGCUGUUUUCUUUUUUACCAUGGGUGCUCUUCAAUACAAUGUGAUUGUGGCAGCUGCUGUUUUAUCUAGAAGCUUAGUUUGCCCUGUCAAAAUAUCUGACAAGUCCACCUUCCCAUGUUUAGGAACCUGACUAGAGUAGUGGAUGUGUACAUUUUCAAAAAAUUGAGAUUUACCUGUACUUAAGCACAGAAUGUAAUUCAGUUGCCUCUGUGUUUUUUACGUUAUGCUGUCUCUGUUAAAUACUGUAAUUGCAAAUACUCUGCUAAAUAGAGUGACUCGUCCUAUGCAGCUAUUGAGUGAACCAGAUCUCUGUGACACCAGAAUAGGUUGAGGGAACUGUCGAUGGUAAGCUCAAUUAUAUUGAAGGGCACAUUGACCUCAUGAUGCUAAGAUUCUGAGCUUUAAAAUGUACUCACAUCUUGAGUUUGUUUUUUCUCUGUCUUCUUAUGUUCCCUUUCUUCCUACUUAAACUAGUACCUCAUUACAGUAAACUUUAUAGAGAAGGAGCCUCUCUACAUUAGUCAUGGAAUUUUCCUUGUGACAAAAGCACCAGACUUUUUGGUCCCAACAAUCACUCCCGUAUUCUCAAGCCUGCAUUCAGAACAAUUCUGCUGCCCCACUCCCAAACUAAGUGGGGAUGCCAUCAUAUAGGCAGGGAAGCAGUGGAAUGUAGAGGUAAUGAUGCUUCAGCCUUGCACAAGAAAAAAUCAAAUUUAACAGCUCACAUCUAAAUUUCUUUUGCUGCUUGCUUGUUGUGAAACUUGGAACUAGUGCCCUUUUUGGCCCUGUACCACCCCUUCAUAGAUGAGAAUGAUGGUGCUUUUGUGUGAUUGGAAGUAAAGCUGAAAUACAGAAAUGAGGACUCUGUGUCUGGAAGGACUGGAAGACUUUCUCAUUAUCCCUUCUCUAAUCCAAACUCAGGAAGACUUUUUUUCAUUCCAAAUCAGAGCAAAACCUCAAAACUUACUGACAUUUUCCAAAUGGAAUGUCAUAUUGGAACAGCUGAAGCUGAAACAUUUCUGAACUAUUGUCCUUAAGUCAACCACUUCAGUGAAGGUACAUUGAGGUACUGCACUUUGAGGCAGUAAAUUCAGUGUGGGCUGCUAGAAACCCAAACAGAUCAACUUUCUACAUUUAAUUAAAUGGGUCCACUGAAAAAAGAGUAUGAUUGUCCAAUUAAAAAACAUCGUACAAGGGGAUGCUAAUUUUUGAAGUUUUGACUUUAUUUUCUUGUGACAUUUGCUUGUGUAAUUCCUUCAAUUUUUGUUUUAAAGCAUAGGGCAAAAUAGAAAUUCUGUAACACUGAUUAACAACCACAUGAUACAUAAGCUAAACUGCAACCUCUAGAGCCACCACCACCUCCUGCAGACUGAGAUAGGACAAUAAUUGGUAGUAAUGGUGAGCUCUGCCUGAAUCUUCACUAGUGGAAAGACUGGGAAUUUUGCCAGUGGGUUUCACAGAUGUUAGUUGACAGAGAGGAACAGGCUUACCUAACAUGCAUGGUUCCAGCCGGGUUCUGAAGAGCAUUCUUCAAUGGACAUGGACUUGGCUGCUGUUUUGCCUCAAAUUUAAUCUUUUUUUGCUGUGUUCUUUCUCAUGUCUGCCUCUUAGUUCUUUCUCUUCUACCAGUUCUGGUCUCCCAGGUCUUUAGACCAUCUUUUCCUCACCUCUUUGCCUUCCUGUGCAGCUGCUUUUGCAGUUUUUCUCUCUACAUCUGCUUCUCACUUCCUGUCCUCAUUUCACAAAAUUUGUGAGAGACUUAAUUAAUUUGACACUAUCAAAGCUCUGCUGAGCGUGACAGACAACUUGGCCAAAUUUGUAGUGGAAUUUGUAAGAGUGGCAGAGGGCACAAGCUGUACAAAAAUGAUUGCCCUCUUCCCUGAAGGUCAGGUGGGAUAUGCUGAAGUAUCUUAAAGAACAUCAGAAUCUACGAACAUGUAAAAAUUAUAUUUUCCUCUGUGGUCAUUCUGAGACAGCACUCAGGACAGCAUUGAUCCAGACAACGAGGUGUGAUAAAGCCAGAAGCAGAGAGUAGUCUUACCCUGUCUUAACAUCAGCAUCCUGUCAGGCUUCUGCUCAGUGAUUUUUUCACCUUUGAAAGUCAGAACUGAUUGGCAAGAUGAGUUAUGGCAAUGCAUAUGUUAUGAUACCUCCAGAUUCCUCCAGCUCACCUUACUUCUCAGUCUGUGUGGAGCUAGUAUUCCAUUUUACAUUUAAAUAGUUAAUUUCUGAGCAAAAAAAAUGUACUAUUAUUAGAAGAUCCUAAAAUUUUUCAAAUGGAGUGUGAAAAUGUCGCAUUUCAACUUUGUUGACCGACCUCCUUGUUCAGAAGCAAUUAAAGCGGCUUUACAUUAUGGCCCCAAAAUAUCAUAGCACAUCAGGCUAUGAUAUUUGUCACUUGUCAAGCCUAAGAGGAGAAAAAUACGGACAUUUUUCAACCUCUUAAAAAUCCAAACACAUCUAUUUUGUUUAUUUUAUAGAACUUUCUGGAUUCACAUCAAUUGCCAAUAAAGCCUUCAUGUUUAACCCUGGGUUUAUAUUUUGGAUAACUAAAUAUUUCAUUGUUGUUGUGGUUUAGGAAUGGUAUUCUCCAAUUCAGUGUUCCCACUGAAACCAUUCCAAACCGCAUGCUGCACCUUCACUCCU